rnacentral:rRNA from 1 species
UACGUAGGGCGCAAGCGUUGUCCGGAAUCAUUGGGCGUAAAGAGCUCGUAGGUGGUCUGUUACGUCUGCUGUGAAAUCCUAGGGCUUAACCCUGGGCCUGCAGUGGAUACGGGCAGACUAGAGGUAGGUAGGGGAGAAUGGAAUUCCCGGUGUAGCGGUGAAAUGCGCAGAUAUCAGGAGGAACACCGAUGGCGAAGGCAGCUCGCUGGGACGGUACUGACGCUGAGGCGCGAAAGCGUGGGGAGCGAACAGG